UUGAAUUAUUUUGUGCUACGGAUUGCAGUCAAGCUUCGUCGUCUCAAAUUAAAUAUCGAUAAUUAGAAUAUUUUUUCUAACGUAUACUCUUAUUUUAUAUAUCAAGCAAUGGUCGAAAACGCGAUUUUCGUGCGUGAAUGUUCGCAAGUCGUGACAUCGUUUUGUCUCAAAAAUAUCCCCAACAAUAUAAUCGGCGUCUUCUGUGAACAUUUUCUACUUCGAAUUAUCUUGUUUUAUUUUUACUGUAUCGGUGCUUCUUUCAUUCUUUGACGAUAUACCAAUUAAUAAUUUGCCAUUAAUUAUAUUUCAUAUAUCACCUUUCUUAUUAAAUUUGAUUUUCAUAUAUAUACGCAUACACGCACACGCAAUUAAUUUUAUGUGCUACUAAUCAAUCUUAAAUUUUUUAAACUUCCAAGAAUUGUACAUGUUAGAAAAAAAAACGGUCAAGAGAAGACAAUUAUAUAUAGGUAAAUACACGUAACAGUUUUAAAUCACAUCAAGCUUAUUAUUAGAUAGAAAAUUGUGCUGGGAUAUCGAUAUGCAAACUAAUGGCUGCAUACUCUGGUAUAUUUCAAAAUAAUUUAGCUUUUAUUGACUCUAUUAAUAUUAAUUUCGAGAUAAUAUAUCUUUCAAUAUGUCACUUGCAUUGAUACAGGAAUUCUAUUCUAUACGUAUAAUUCUUAAAAUUACGUUAGUGGUGGUAUAUUUGUGUUAGUGCAUCCUUUUACAUCGUCCUGAGUUAGAAUAUUCAUUGUGCAAGAACAAAUGAACGCUUUAGAUUGCAUUUCUUUUGUUAUAAAUUCCGUUGUUGGCACACCUGUGAUGGAAAGCUGGUUAGUCGUAACUAAAUAAUUUAAUAAUUGAAGAUACAGGGCAAAACAGACAAAGGAGGAGAAAGAUAUGACUACUAUUGAGAAGACUAAACAAAGUACUUGCUAUAUUGGAAUUAGUUACCGACGUAUCUAGCUAGGAUUUAUUCAUGUAUAAAUAUAAACAUCGAACACGCUCAAGCGUGAAAGAUUUUACUUAUCUAUAAUGAGAAAUGGUAUUCAAUACUCAACGACGACUGGACAUAUGCGUUGUGAAUUUGUCCAUUAUGGUUAACAAUAUAGUGUGGCAUAUGUACUUAGAAAUAUGUAAGAUGAAUUUGACUAGAGUCUAACAGAAUUGACAUCUUCUCUUUAAGUUUAUACAUUUAUUCUUCGAUUAAUUAAUGUUCUUUUAUCGAAACUUUCUUUUGUACUUUUCUUUCGGUUAUGUAUUUUUUAUUGAAUAUAUUAUACAUAUAUCGAACAGCUGAGCAUUCUGAAUUCAUCCUACUCUCACAGCAUUUUUGUAACUUUAUUUCUUUAAUUUUGCAUUAAUGAAUUUAAUGUGGAUUCUUUCAAUAUUUAUUAUUGACUUGUCAUUAGUAAUCGACAUCAUCGGAAUAAGGAGUAUUGAGGCAUAAGACUUUUAUUUCAUUCAUUGAUAAAUAUUUACUGAAAAUCGAAGAAUUUAAGUUUUACAUAAUCGUAUAGAUUGCAUCCUAGAACUACGAAUUCUUCUAUUGUCAUUUCCAACUAUGGACAUCGUUGGAAAUUUAUAUGCGCGGUAAACAAUCAUGGAUAUCAUAAACUAAUUAUAUUUUAAUCUUUACUUUUUGUCGAAUAUACAAUUACAAUUAAGUGGAUAAACUAUUCAUUUUUUUUUAUAAAAUUUAAAUAUAUUACACAGAGCA